rnacentral:lncRNA from 1 species
GGAUGGAUUUUCUUGAACAUGACGGUGUCAUUUUUGUUGCCAUUGAACACUAUAGAUCAUUAGUUCAGAGGUUUCCUCUCAUUUUUGUUGCCAUUGAACACUAAAGAAAAUGGCAGGGACAGAAGAAUAUAAUUUGUGUGAUUGUGUUAACAUAGAUUUCUUGCUCUACAUAUCUCUUUUCUGUAGGAGGCUCGUGAUGGCACACAACAAUGAAGGGAACGAGAUAAAAUAGGAGGAUGUCUGAGGAGCAGGGCCAAGACUAAACAAAGAACGAAGAAUGCCUUUUCAUUUCAUGAUCAUAAAACACUACUAAGAUUAUUUUUCAUAUGGCAACUGUCGGAGCUAAGAGGCAGCCCCCGAAGCACCAACACGACGCCAACUGGUCUGCCAUCUCCCAAGAUAUGGGUGAGUUCUCGUGAUCCCCACCCUACUCCCUCACCUCCUCCAAAUUCCUCGACCCCUAACUUCUUGACCCCUACCAGGCUACCACAAUCUAAUCCGAAGGCCGAUGCAGCUCCGGGAUAUUGAUAAUGGAGGUUCAGGAUCCUUCCUCUCAGCACCCACUCAUGGCAGAAUCAGCAGCACGCCACGCGGAUGGAACCCGG